rnacentral:rRNA from 1 species
GUGGGGAAUAUUGGACAAUGGGCGAAAGCCUGAUCCAGCCAUGCCGCGUGAGUGAUGAAGGCCUUAGGGUUGUAAAGCUCUUUCAGUGGGGACGAUAAUGACGGUACCCACAGAAGAAGCCCCGGCUAACUUCGUGCCAGCAGCCGCGGUAAUACGAAGGGGGCUAGCGUUGUUCGGAUUUACUGGGCGUAAAGCGCACGUAGGCGGAUCGUUAAGUCAGGGGUGAAAUCCUGGAGCUCAACUCCAGAACUGCCUUUGAUACUGGCGAUCUAGAGUCCGGAAGAGGUGAGUGGAACUCCUAGUGUAGAGGUGGAAUUCGUAGAUAUUAGGAAGAACACCAGUGGCGAAGGCGGCUCACUGGUCCGGUACUGACGCUGAGGUGCGAAAGCGUGGGGAGCAAACAGGAUUAGAAACCCUUGUAGUCC